CAGCCAGAGGCGAUGAAAGACGUGGUAUCCUGCGAUAAGGCUCGGUGAGGUGGCAACAACCUGUGACCCGGGCAUUUCUGAAUGGGGAAACCCACUGACCAUAAGGUCAGUAUCGUACACUGAAUACAUAGGUGUACGAGGCGAACCAGGGGGAACUGAAACAUCUAAGUASCUCGRAGGAAAAGAAAUCAACCGAGAUUCCSWWAGUAGUGGCGAGCGAACGGGAUUAGCCCUUAAGUGGCUUUGAGAUUAGCGGUC
rnacentral:rRNA from 1 species